rnacentral:lncRNA from 1 species
UUCCUCUCUCGGUCAUGUUCCUCACUCUCUCACGUGGAUCUCCAGACUAUAAGACUGGUUUCGGAGGCAAAUUUGGUGUUCAGUCCGAGAGGCAGGACUCCUCCGCUGUGGGGUUUGAUUACAAGGAGAAAUUGGCCAAGCACGAGUCCCAGCAAGGCACAGUUCCCCUGCCUCCUCCUACCAGCCCUUGCAGUGCAGCUGGCUUGCAGCAUAGACUUCAGGGUUUACCACAGUGCCUGUGACAGUUCCUGUGCCGCCACUGGCUGCCAUGAUGUUCUCCACUCAGUUUCAUGCCAGAGGAACAACCUGGAGCUCGGUCCCCCCCCCCCCCCCCCCAACCCCACCCAUUCUUUUUCCCUCCGACCUUUGGGUUCAGGU